UUAAGUUAAUAAGGGCGCACGGUGGAUGCCUUGGCACUAGGAGCCGACGAAGGACGUGACAAACGACGAUAUGCCUUGGGUAGCUGUAAGUAAGCGAUGAUCCAGGGAUUUCCGAAUGGGGGAACCCAACAGGUAAUACCUGUUACCUACAUCUGUUAAGGAUGUGAGGAGGAAAACGCAGUGAACUGAAACAUCUAAGUAGCUGCAGGAAGAGAAAGCAAAAGCGAUUGCCUUAGUAGCGGCGAGCGAAACGGCAGAAGGGCAAACCGAAGAGUUUACUCUUCGGGGUUGUAGGACUGCAAUGUGGACUCAAAGAUUAUAGAAGAAUGAUUUGGGAAGAUCAGCCAAAGAGAGUAAUAGCCUCGUAUUUAAAAUAGUCUUUGUACUUAGCAGUAUCCUGAGUACGGCGGGACACGUGAAAUCCCGUCGGAAUCUGGGAGGACCAUCUCCCAACCCUAAAUACUCCCUAGUGACCGAUAGUGAACCAGUACCGUGAGGGAAAGGUGAAAAGCACCCCGGGAGGGGAGUGAAAUAGAACCUGAAACCGUGUGCCUACAACAAGUUCGAGCCCGUUAAUGGGUGAGAGCGUGCCUUUUGUAGAAUGAACCGGCGAGUUACGUUAUGAUGCGAGGUUAAGUUGAAGAGACGGAGCCGUAGGGAAACCGAGUCUGAAUAGGGCGCCUUAGUAUCAUGACGUAGACCCGAAACCAUGUGACCUACCCAUGAGCAGGUUGAAGGUGCGGUAAGACGCACUGGAGGACCGAACCAGGGCACGUUGAAAAGUGCUUGGAUGACUUGUGGGUAGCGGAGAAAUUCCAAACGAACUUGGAGAUAGCUGGUUCUCUCCGAAAUAGCUUUAGGGCUAGCGUCGACAUUAGAGAUUCUUGGAGGUAGAGCACUGUUUGGGUGAGGGGUCCAUCCCGGAUUACCAAUCUCAGAUAAACUCCGAAUGCCAAUGAAUUAUGGUCGGCAGUCAGACUGCGAGUGCUAAGAUCCGUAGUCGAAAGGGAAACAGCCCAGACCACCAGCUAAGGUCCCAAAAUAAUUAGUUAAGUAGGAAAAGGAUGUGGGGUUGCUACAGACAACUAGGAUGUUAGCUUAGAAGCAGCUAUUCAUUCAAAGAGUGCGUAAUAGCUCACUAGUCGAGUGACCCUGCGCCGAAAAUGUACCGGGGCUAAAACAAUUUACCGAAGCUGUGGAUACCUUUAUAGGUAUGGUAGGAGAGCGUUCUAUGUGUGAUGAAGGUAUACCGUGAGGAGUGCUGGAACGCAUAGAAGUGAGAAUGCCGGUAUGAGUAGCGAAAGACAGGUGAGAAUCCUGUCCACCGUAAGACUAAGGUUUCCAGGGGAAGGCUCGUCCGCCCUGGGUUAGUCGGGACCUAAGGAGAGACCGAAAGGUGUAUCCGAUGGACAACAGGUUGAUAUUCCUGUACUAGAGUAUGUAGUGAUGGAGGGACGCAGUAGGCUAACUAAAGCAGACGAUUGGAAGAGUCUGUCUAAGCAGUGAGGUGUGAAUUGAGUCAAAUGCUUAAUUCUAUAACAUUGAGCUGUGAUGGGGAGCGAAGUUUAGUAGCGAAGUUAGUGACGUCACACUGCCAAGAAAAGCUUCUAGCGUUUAAACAUACUCUACCCGUACCGCAAACCGACACAGGUAGUCGAGGCGAGUAGCCUCAGGUGAGCGAGAGAACUCUCGUUAAGGAACUCGGCAAAAUGACCCCGUAACUUCGGGAGAAGGGGUGCUGACUUUAAGUCAGCCGCAGUGAAUAGGCCCAAGCAACUGUUUAUCAAAAACACAGCUCUCUGCUAAAUCGUAAGAUGAUGUAUAGGGGGUGACGCCUGCCCGGUGCUGGAAGGUUAAGAGGAGUGCUUAGCGUAAGCGAAGGUAUGAAUUGAAGCCCCAGUAAACGGCGGCCGUAACUAUAACGGUCCUAAGGUAGCGAAAUUCCUUGUCGGGUAAGUUCCGACCCGCACGAAAGGCGUAAUGAUUUGGGCACUGUCUCAACGAGAGACUCGGUGAAAUUUUAGUACCUGUGAAGAUGCAGGUUACCCGCGACAGGACGGAAAGACCCCAUGGAGCUUUACUGCAGUUUGAUAUUGAGUGUCUGUACCACAUGUACAGGAUAGGUAGGAGUCUAAGAGAUCGGGACGCCAGUUUCGAAGGAGACGCUGUUGGGAUACUACCCUUGUGUUAUGGCCACUCUAACCCAGAUAGGUGAUCCCUAUCGGAGACAGUGUCUGACGGGCAGUUUGACUGGGGCGGUCGCCUCCUAAAAGGUAACGGAGGCGCCCAAAGGUUCCCUCAGAAUGGUUGGAAAUCAUUCGCAGAGUGUAAAGGUAUAAGGGAGCUUGACUGCGAGAGCUACAACUCGAGCAGGGACGAAAGUCGGGCUUAGUGAUCCGGUGGUUCCGUAUGGAAGGGCCAUCGCUCAACGGAUAAAAGCUACCCUGGGGAUAACAGGCUUAUCUCCCCCAAGAGUUCACAUCGACGGGGAGGUUUGGCACCUCGAUGUCGGCUCGUCGCAUCCUGGGGCUGUAGUCGGUCCCAAGGGUUGGGCUGUUCGCCCAUUAAAGCGGCACGCGAGCUGGGUUCAGAACGUCGUGAGACAGUUCGGUCCCUAUCCGUCGCGGGCGUAGGAAAUUUGAGAGGAUCUGCUCCUAGUACGAGAGGACCAGAGUGGACUUACCGCUGGUGUACCAGUUGUCUUGCCAAAGGCAUCGCUGGGUAGCUAUGUAGGGAAGGGAUAAACGCUGAAAGCAUCUAAGUGUGAAACCCACCUCAAGAUGAGAUUUCCCAUGAUUAUAUAUCAGUAAGAGCCCUGAGAGAUGAUCAGGUAGAUAGGUUAGAAGUGGAAGUGUGGCGACACAUGUAGCGGACUAAUACUAAUAGCUCGAGGACUUAUCCAA
rnacentral:rRNA from 1 species